rnacentral:rRNA from 1 species
GGACAACCUGCCCUUAGGACGGGGAUAAACCCGGGAAACUGGGUAUAAUACCCGAUAGGUCUCGAUUGCAGGAAUGCAUCGAGAUUUAAAGCUCCGGCGCCUAAGGAUGGGUCUGCGGCCUAUCAGGUAGUAGUGGGUGUAGCGUACCUACUAGCCUACGACGGGUACGGGUUGUGAGAGCAAGAGCCCGGAGAUGGAUUCUGAGACACGAAUCCAGGCCCUACGGGGUGCAGCAGGCGCGAAAACUUUACAAUGCUGGCAACAGCGAUAAGGGAACCUCGAGUGCCAGGUUACAAAUCUGGCUGUCGAGAUGCCUAAAAAGCAUUUCAUAGCAAGGGCCGGGCAAGACCGGUGCCAGCCGCCGCGGUAACACCGGCGGCUCGAGUGGUAGCCGUUAUUAUUGGGUCUAAAGGGUCUGUAGCCGGCCGGAUAAGUCUCUUGAGAAAUCUGGCAGCUUAACUGUCAGGCUUUCAGGAGAUACUGUCUGGCUCGAGGCCGGGAGAGGUGAGAGGUACUUCAGGGGUAGGGGUGAAAUCUUGUAAUCCUUGAAGGACCGCCAGUGGCGAAGGCGUCUCACCAGAACGGACCUGACGGCAAGGGACGAAAGCUAGGGGCACGAACCGGAUUAGAUACCCGGGUAGUCCUAGCCGUAAACGAUACUCGCUAGGUGUCGGCCACGGUGCGACCGUUGUCGGUGCCGUAGGGAAGCCGUGAAGCGAGCCACCUGGGAAGUACGGCCGCAAGGCUGAAACU